GAUGAAGAACGCAGCGAAAUGCGAUAAGUAAUGUGAAUUGCAGAAUUCCGUCAAUCAUCGAAUCUUUGAACGCACAUUGCGCCCCCUGGCAUUCCGGGGGGCAUGCCUGUCCGAGCGUCAUUUCUGCCCUCCAGCCCGGCUGGGUGUUGGGCGCUGUCCCCCCGGGGACACGCCCCAAAGGCAGUGGCGGCGCCGCGUCGGGUCCUCGAGCGUAUGGGGCUUUGUCACCCGCUCGGGACGGACUCGUCGGCGCUGGUCUUCCUCCAGGCGACCCUUCGGGGCUCGUCUUCCUUCGGUUGACCUCGGAUCAGGUAGGGUUACCCGCUGAACUUAAGCAUAUCAAUAAGCGGAGGA
rnacentral:misc_RNA from 1 species